UACGGGGGCUCCUAGCAUUAUCCGGUUUUAUUGGGCGUAAAGAGUUCUGUAGGUGGUGUUGUAAGUUAUAGGUUAAAACCCUCGGCUUAACCGAGGUAUCGCUUGUAAUACUGCAGCACUAGAGGCAAACAGGGGAAAGCAGAACGCAUGGUGUAGUUGUGAAAUACGUUGAUAUCAUGCGGAAUACCGAAGGCGUAGGCAGCUUUCUGGGUUUGUCCUGACACUGAGAGACGAAAGCGUGGGGAGCAAAACGG
rnacentral:misc_RNA from 1 species